UGUUUAUAGCUAGUUAUCAUACUCCUAAAUUUGUAAAUGUUUUCUGUAUGCUUGAAAUUGUUUGAAGAUUUAUGCCUCUGUAACUUUAUUGUUAGUUGCUAUUAUUGUGCGAUCCCAUUUAAAUUUUCUGUACUCUAUUGUUUGUAGUGGGAAUUUUGUACGCAUUUUAUUUAUUUAUUUGGAUUACUACAAUGUUUGUAGAUGAUUUUGAGUUCAAAUUGGUGGAUAAUGUGUACUCCAUCGUUAUGUUUAUUUGAACUUGACAUUUGUGCCAGUGUGAACUAUAAAUUCAUUAUUUUGUGAACCUUUAAUAUGAUUUAGGCCAUUGCUAAUCCUUAUCUUUUUUUUCUUUUUCUUUUCGGUGUGCCUAUAAAAUCUCGAUCGAGUUCAAUGGAUUCAAUGAUCUAUCUCAUUGCAUUUCUUAAUGGGCCAUAAAAGCCCAAACAUUUGUCUCAAGUCAGCUGGUAGCAAGUCGUUAAGCAGGUUGAUGGAGGUUAAAUAAAGCUGGAAUUCAAAAUUUCAAGCUCUGAAAUGCCGAAAACGAGAUAAUGGAACACCGACGAGCUCGUUGCUCCGUUAAAGCUCACAGUUUCAUCACAACACACCAUCAAGAAACGACCACUCCAUAUUAUGAAAGUUUGGUACUGAAAAGAACAAGGUAGAAUAUGUUAGUGAAAAUGAAGAUCCACAAAAGCCAGAGUCAAUUCACAGAUCAUCUCAAGAGGAUACAAUUAAUGUCGAAUAAAGAUUAUCUAUCACUUGUUAGACACAUUUUUAGAGUGUUAUGGUUGAUAAGAUACAUUAACUCUAAUUUUAGAGUGUUUGUUUUUACGGUUUUGAAAUA